GAAAAUAACGUUUAUGUGAUGGCACAGGACCCAUCUGCUUAUGCUUACAAGAAUAGAGAUUCAAUACAAACGAAAGGGGGCGUGGGCGGGGAGUGGUUGGGGAAAAAGAAAUAAAAAGGUUUUGAAAAAUUCAACAGGGACCUAAAAGAUCGCCAUCUCACCCUGGCUGGUUGGCUCAGUUGGUUGGAGCAUCAUCCCGUACAACAAAAGGUUUCAGGUGAGGAUUUAAAAAAAAAGAGGUGACUCUGACUGUAAAAAAUAAAAUAAAAUCAUAAAAAUGAAAAUAUUGGAGAAGUACUAUAAAAUUGAUAUCGUUAAAUUUCUAAAUGUGAAAAUUCUAAUAGAAAAGAUUAUUCUUAGAAUAUUCAUUUGUAUCCAGUUAAUUUAUUUAAAAAAUAUUUUGUAUUCUAUAAUAAUCUGUGGUCACUGAAUAAAAAUUCUUACUACCAAGAGAUUUAUGACUACUAGUAACUUUUGGUUUAUAUUGUUCUAGAUAGAAUACAUAUCAAUCAUGUCUGUGAACAUAAAGCUAUGUCAUGUAUAAAUAUACCUACAUAUAAACAUGUAAUAAUG